UGUGCAUGUGAAACCUCAUCUACUAAAGUAUUUUGGCACACGUGAAGUUCCAACGUGAACUUCUGAAAGCUGCAUGAGUUGUGAAUGCUGAGGUGCUUCAGAGGCAUCUACAGUCUGGACAAUGUUCUGAGGCUUAUGUCAGCGCAGGCUAACAAAGCUAUGCUGCUAACAAAGCUAUGCUGUGUGGGACUUUCAAAGAGUUGGGUAAACUUCUUUGGAACUGGGAGACUCAGUUGAUUGAAGGAAAAAUUGCUGUUUCCUCCUUCUCUGUCUGCCUGGAUUUCCUGGCUGAGUUAUGUUUUCUCCUCCUAUGCAGACACAGAGGGAGCAGAUCCCAUGUGUCAUAGCAUCCUUGAAGCAGAAGUCACGUCAUAAAGGAGCUUCUUCUGAUGACUCUCCCCAGUUGGACUGAGGUUAACACCUUGGCUGCCUGCAUCUCUGGUCCAUAGCAUGGAGAAGGUCUGACAUUGAUUCACGUGUGCGUAACUCCUCCAAACAUGAAUUUCCAGUGUUUCCAAGCCAGCUGUUGGACUCGUUCUCAAACAGCUUGAAAGCCGUUAAUAACCAUCGUGUGCUCUUAAACUGAAGACACGGACUUCGACUUCCUUUUCCUAGACAAGUCCUACGUGAAUUGCUCAUUGACACCUCCACUGAGAGAACCAUCAAUGCAACAAACAUCCGUUCCUCUCCUUUCAACUUCUCAGCAGAAGAAAGGUGUUGCUUUCACUUCAAAGCCCCUUGCUGAUCAUCUUCAGGACUGGCUGUGGAGCUGGGCUGGAUGCAGAGGACCCGGCUGUGUCCUGUCCUGAGCACGCAGGCGCUAUGCCAUGCACCACUCAGCCUUCUUUGGGUGCCAGCAAGGUCAGCCCCUUACAUUUAUACUUUUUUCUCUAUUUUGAAUCUCAGUCAAUUAAAAAGGAAUGACUGUGGGUUGGCAGCAGUCAAUCUGCUACCAGGUUAAGAUGAAAUGAGAGGAAAAAUCAGAUCAGGCUGGUAGCCCAAGUAUUCCUGAAGAUCUUGGUAGGAAGGAACUCCAUCCUAUGUUAUUAAAACUGAAGUGGUGGCAAGACAGUGCCCAGCUUUUCUCAACACUGCAAAUAUCUUUCUUGGGAGUAUAUAAAGAUGGCAGAGUAUAUAAGGCUUGCAGAAGGUGCAGGAGUCUAUCUGAGGGAGGUGGUGGUGACCUGCGAUGUACAAAGGCAGCUCUUGGUCUCAAUUUUUACAUUUUGAAGUAAGAUUUGAAGGAAUUCUCGUUAUUGUUCCUUUUCUCCAAUUUCUUUCUUCAGUGAGCUAUCAUUAUUAACACAAGGACUGCUGCUGUUUAUUUCAGUAUGAAUCUAGCUGCAGGUUAUUAGUUCUCAGAAUCUGCAGGCACCAUUCAUUCAGUAGUCUAAAAAAGGUGAUGAACAAGGAGUUUUAUAACCCAGCUCUGAUGAUAGAAACUGGAAAGAACUUCCAUUUGCUCACCCACCACCUUCUGCAUCACACCCAGAUCCACUCACUUGUGCUGCCUCAUAGGACAGUGCUCAAGCUGAGCGCUGUCACCAGUGAAAGGGCCAUAAAGCAGUCUGGUCUACUGCCUAUCUGCUCCUCCUCAUUUU